rnacentral:rRNA from 1 species
UACGUAGGGUGCGAGCGUUAAUCGGAAUUACUGGGCGUAAAGCGUGCGCAGGCGGUUUUGUAAGCCCGAUGUGAAAUCCCCGGGCUUAACCUGGGAAUGGCAUUUGGGACUGCAAGGCUCGAGUGCGGCAGAGGAGACUGGAAUUCCUGGUGUAGCAGUGAAAUGCGUAGAUAUCAGGAGGAACACCGAUGGCGAAGGCGGCUACCUGGACAAUUGCUGACGCUCAGGCACGAAAGCGUGGGGAGCAAACAGG